GGAUGUGAGGGUAACCUCACAGCGACCUGUGUCACCCCACAGAUUGCCACGGUUGAUGCAGCUGAUCUGGCUGACUAGGCGGUAUCCCCUUCCUCCCUCACCGCUGCAUGUGCGUCCCUCCCAAGCUGCGCACUCGGUCGGAGACAACCACCCCCGACCGAGGAGGGCGUUCCUCGGUCAAAGGUGUGGGAGCACCUGCGUUCCCUGCUGGAACCCCAAACAAGCUCCCACUCAGGACCGCACAGUGCUGAACUCAAUAGGAAGCA
rnacentral:sRNA from 1 species